UUUGGAAAAUAAAAAGGAACUUUAUUUUUCUACCCCGAACCUCGUCUCUAGAAUUCUUUUAAAAUUCUACAAACAAAUUGGGGGCUCGUGUCCGGGAUUCAAUCUCUUGCUGGGCUCUAGGGGGGUCUCCCUUGGGUGCACCCCUCUCCGAAUUUGAGAGGAGGGGGAACUACCUAGAGAACUGCGGAGCUCUUGGAAGCCCGUAAAAAUUGUGCGAUAGACGAGUAGUAGGGGGAGUUGAAUAAAGGGAAAGAGGUUGAAUAAAGAGGAAAAGACGGCUUGGAGAUCGACCGGGAAACAUCUGUGCACAGAACCCUGAAAAAGCGGGCUAUUUAAUACAGACUCCUCCAUUGAGCUUCAAAGUACAUUCCAUUGAAGUGGGAGACCAGGUGUGGAUAAAGACUUGGAAGGACGAUUCCCUAAAGCCAAAGUGGGAUGGACCAUUCCUGGUGUUGCUGACCACAGACACUGCCAUCCGGACGAAAGAAAAAGGCUGGACCCGUUACACCAGAGCGAAGAGAGCCAACUUGGAGGAGUCGGAAACAUGGAAAGCCUUUCAAAAAGAACCAUUGAAACUGGUGUUUAAAAAAAAAAAA